rnacentral:rRNA from 1 species
ACACCGGCAGCUCAAGUGGUAGCCGCUUUUAUUGGGCCUAAAGCGUCCGUAGCCGGUCUGAUAAGUCUCUGGUGAAAUCCCGCAGCUUAACUGUGGGAAUUGCUGGAGAUACUAUCAGGCUUGAGGUCGGGAGAGGUUAGAGGUACUCCCAGGGUAGGGGUGAAAUCCUGUAAUCCUGGGAGGACCACCUGUGGCGAAGGCGUCCAGCUGGAACGAACCUGACGGUGAGGGACGAAAGCCAGGGGCGCGAACCGGAUUAGAUACCCGGGUAGUCCUGGCCAUAAACGAUGUGGACUUGGUGUUGGGAUGGCUUCGAGCUGCCCCAGUGCCGAAGGGAAGCUGUUAAGUCCACCGCCUGGGAAGUACGGCCGCAAGGCUGAAACUUAAAGGAAUUGGCGGGG